AUGUUAUAAUGGGUGAAGAAAGAAGUUGACCCAAUUCCAUGGCAAUUAGAGAGUCAUGGCUAUUGGAUCGGACUUCCAAGGCUUCCUACCCUGUUAUUGGGACCUUCGAGCAGUAUAGUCUUGGUCCUUAUCACUGAUUGAGAGUUCGAAGAGUCGAUAGUUUCAAUUGCAAUAGAGCUUUUUCUUUUCAUCUUAUGCAAUGUGAGUGAUAUCAUGCCGUUUACCAAAGUGCUUCCAAUGAUUUACUCUUCUCAGCUCCUUAUAAUGCUCUAAUUAGCUAUCCCUUGUUUCAAUGGCAAUUUAAGGAGAAGAAGGUACGGUGAUGUUGCUCAAGGUUUUCCUAUAAAGUAGCCUAACGACUCGUUUGUGUUUUGAAUUGUAAUAAUUUUUCUUGUGAUUUCAGUUUUAUAAAUUAUUCUAUAUACUUUGGGAAAAGGUUGGGUAUGCCGCCGAUAUCAAGUAUGUUAGCACCCAUUGUGUCUAUCUCUCUCUUCUCUUUUUUCUGAAAUGACCCUUAUAUCCUUCCUGAAUUAUACUUCAUCAUGUGAUCCUAUUGGUGCUAUCCGCUAGCAUACUUGAUAUUGGCGGCAUACCUAUCAUUCUCCUAUAUACUUUAUAUUAAAUAAAAAAUUACAGAACGAAUGAUUUUGAUUUUAAUUUGUAAUAUUGAAGAAUGAUGAAUCAAAUCAUUUUCUUGACACGAUUUGGUUUUCAUCUCAAAGUAUUAUUGUGCCACUCAUAAUGCCCUAUAAACCUUUCAAGAUACUAUUUCCCUCUGAGCUUGUUUAACAUUGAAAAUAAAUAAACUUAUGUUCCAAGAACAUUGCGUCAAACAAACAACGCAUACUAAAGUAGAAUGCACUCUAAAGUCAAGAUAACAUUUUUGAUAUCCAUGUAUACAUAUUCACAUAUUCGGCUUAUUUGUCAUCCAUGAAAGUAAUUUUUCUUUAACCAAAAAAAGGGAAGAAAAAAGAGAAGAAAAAAAGUGCAUCAUUGAUAGAUGAU